UUUUUUUUUGCUUUGAAAUCUGCCAGCUCUUGGAAUCAGCCUCUACCAGGCCCCUCGGGUUUCGGGCUGGAGGAAGUGAGCAGGGAAGGUGGUUGGAGAUUCUCAUUCUCCGAGGAAUAUGUUCGAUACAGACACCGCGGGUCUCCUUGUUAUGCUAGAAACCAGCGGUUGUUUGCACAUAAGGAGCUACCACACGGUAAUGAGGUGCAGCCAGAGGCAAAAUGACAUUUGGCGACGUCUUUUGUGUACUGCAGCCAGUGACUCUGAAUGGGAACUCCGGAGUAGCAUGCAGGGCUACAGAAUCACAUCUUGGAUCAAUGUGCCGCAGACACAGACUUCAUGGCCUGUAGUUAGAAACUGCUUCUUUCUCCAGUGUCAACCCCGCCGUAAAACACACCUAAAGGUCUAACAGGCAGAAUUGGUCACUUCAGGAUUGUUUGUAGAACACUGCUGCGAGGAGCGUUCUAUAGGCCGGCAGA
ensembl:lincRNA Gm15966 predicted gene 15966